GGGUCAGUAUGUUGGUCGUGCCUCCGGUACGUACUGGUCUCACUGAUUCCUCCUUCCUGAAGAACCGUAAUGCCAUUAAUUUGGUGUUGCGGGGAAACAGGACUGUUACUUUGAAAAAAUUAGAGUGUUUAAAGCAAGCUAACGCUUGAAUACAUUAGCAUGGAAUAAUGAAAUAGUACGAUCGAUCCUAUUUUGUUGGUUUCUAGGAUUGACGUA
rnacentral:rRNA from 1 species